UGGGGGAAAGUCCCCGACCUGCACGUUGACCGGGCGCUGAAAGGACCCGUAGCCGUCGGGGCACUCGAAGUACCUCUUCCC
rnacentral:RNase_MRP_RNA from 1 species